GAUGAACGCUGACGGCGUGCCUAAUACAUGCAAGUCGAGCGAACGGACGAGAAGCUUGCUUCUCUGAUGUUAGCGGCGGACGUGUGAGUAACACGUGGAUAACCUACCUAUAAGACUGGGAUAACUUCGGGAAACCGGAGCUAAUACCGGAUAAUAUUUUGAACCGCAUGGUUCAAAAGUGAAAGACGGUCUUGCUGUCACUUAUAGAUGGAUCCGCGCUGCAUUAGCUAGUUGGUAAGGUAACGGCUUACCAAGGCAACGAUGCAUAGCCGACCUGAGAGGGUGAUCGGCCACACUGGAACUGAGACACGGUCCAGACUCCUACGGGAGGCAGCAGUAGGGAAUCUUCCGCAAAGGGCGAAAGCCUGACGGAGCAACGCCGCGUGAGUGAUGAAGGUCUUCGGAUCGUAAAACUCUGUUAUUAGGGAAGAACAUAUGUGUAAGUAACUGUGCACAUCUUGACGGUACCUAAUCAGAAAGCCACGGCUAACUACGUG
rnacentral:rRNA from 1 species